GCCGAAGUGGUGGAAUCUGGUAGACACGCCGUCUUGAGGGGGCGGUGAGCUCCGCUCGUGCGGGUUCAAAUCCCGCCUUCGGCACCA
rnacentral:tRNA from 1 species